CUUUACUUUGCCAUUAGCUAAUUCUACCUCAGCCUGCCUGUUAGCAAAAUAAUUUGCUGCACCUGCUUCCACUUUCCAUGCCAUGGACAGUCGCUGGUUUUACAGAAUGCUUUCUGUUUGCCACGCUGUUCUGCCUGCCUGGAAAUGUUUUGCCUGCUCAAAUUUUUCAGGCUCAUACCUUAAGGACUUGUUACUAGUGGAUUUUCUCAUUUGAUGAUGUGUCAGCUGUAACUUCAACUACUACGUGUUGCAAUGAGCUAACCAGCAGAAUUUGUGUUGACAUCCAACAUUACUCCCUGGGAUAAAUUCAGUGAUCCGUGAAGUCUAAGCAGUACAGAAGUGCUAUUGCAUACUCUGAGACACGCAGCGUGGAGAUGAAUGCAGCAGUGUAAUGAAAGGACCCUGAUGUGCUGCCCAUAGUGUGUAACCCCGCAAGGUUUCUCGUAUGAGUAAAUGCCUGUGGACUUGAGCCAAAGCUUGAACUGAUUAGCCUGAGAAGACCAGUACUAUCACCAGACCGCGUGGUGUCAGAACAAGAUAAAACUGUACAGAGCGUACCACCAUGCACUGAAGUUUCUCCUUUAAAAAACAAGUUACUUUGGGCAUCUCUCAAUCACUGCGGUUACCAUGCUAGAAACAAUUGCUAUUCUGUGCUGUGGUUUUGUAAAGUAACAGUCUUAUUUAGAGCUUUGUGUGCUAAACUUGGAUAUGUCCACUCUAUUGUAGACUAUGCGUACCUAAAAAUGGAAUGGUUACGCUAAAAUUAAGCAGACAGCCAAAUGAUACACACUUCCUCUCCUUUGUUUUUUCUGACAGACCACAAUUACUGCAAAGAAGUUGUCCACUCAUUACUGCGAGCUCUGGGGAAAAGGAGGAGUGACAGUAUGUAGACCAAUAUAGCGUUAGUCUAAAGAGACACUUGCUGUGGCAAGCACAGCAUGUAAAUUCCAAAGUUAAGCACUCUGGAAAAUGUCCAAAAGAUGAAGAUACAAACAUUAUCCCUG
rnacentral:lncRNA from 1 species